AUUGAACGCUGGCGGCAGGCCUAACACAUGAAAGUCGAACGAGUGGCGGACGGGUGAGUAAUGUCUGGGAAACUGCCCGAUGGAGGGGGAUAAAUACUGGCAACGGUAGCUAAUACCGCAUACCCUCGGAUGUGCCCACAUGGGAGUAGCUAGUAGUGUGGGUAACGGCUCACCUAGGCGACGAUCCCUAGCUGGGCUGAGAGGAGGACCAGCCACACUGGAACUGGGACACGGUCCAGACUCCUACGGGAGGCAGCAGUGGGGAAUAGUGCACAAUGGGCGCAAGCCUGAUGCAGCCAUGCCGCGUGUAUGAAGAAGGCCUUCGGGUUGUAAAGUACUUUCAGCGAGGAGGCGUUACUCGCAGAAGAAGCACCGGCUAACUCCGUGCCAGCAGCCGCGGUAAUAC
rnacentral:rRNA from 1 species